CUUGUUUAUUGUUAAAAGAACAAUAUUAUUUUUAACAGUAAUAUUCUUCAAAGAACAUUUAUCCUGAUUCUAUAACUGAGCACAGGUAAUUUGGUAAAAUACAAUGUUUAAUGUGUGAAAUGUCUACAAAUAUAUUUGACAGCAAAAAUAAUCAUCACAUUUUUGUUUUUUAUUCAUUUAACUAUGUUGGAAGAGAAUAAUAGAAUGCAUGGGCUGAUA